GUACGUAGGGAGCGAGCGUUGUCCGGAUUUACUGGGUGUAAAGGGUGCGUAGGCGGCUCUGCAAGUCAGGUGUGAAAACCAUCGGCUUAACUGAUGGACUGCAUUUGAAACUGUGGAGCUUGAGUGGAGUAGAGGCAAACGGAAUUCCCGGUGUAGCGGUGAAAUGCGUAGAGAUCGGGAGGAACACCAGUGGCGAAGGCGGUUUGCUGGGCUUUAACUGACGCUGAGGCACGAAAGCAUGGGUAGCAAACAGGAUUAGAUACCCUGGUAGUCCAUGCCGUAAACGAUGAUUACUAGGUGUGGGGGGUCUGACCCCCUCCGUGCCGGAGUUAACACAAUAAGUAAUCCACCUGGGAAGUACGACCGCAAGGUUGAA
rnacentral:rRNA from 1 species